rnacentral:lncRNA from 1 species
UUCCUUUCCUUUCCUUUCCUUUCCUUUCCUUUCCUUUCCUUUCCUUUCCUUUCCUUUCCUUUCCUUUCCUUUCCUUUCCUUUCCUUUCCUUUCGUGAGAAAGGCAUAAAAAUAAUUGGGCUAGGAAACAAGGAUUUUCACUCCUAAAUGUUGUCUACCUGGAUGUAGCUGCCUUGUCAGCAUCAAUUUAUGGUAAAUUUUGAUCAAUUCAAAACAAGACAGUGUAUGGGUGUAAAAUGUGUCUACAUCCAGUUUCUAGGGAAGCACAUCAUGCAUUCCAGAAAUUCUGUGUUUCAUGAACUCUUCCAAAGCAACAAACUCAUGAAGGGGAUAAAAAAUCCUGUGCUGCUUGUCACAUAAAAGGGAAAUCCCAGAAGGACUGAAAACUUUUAUGAGGAUCACAUCUCAUUCCAGGAUGGGUUCUUCAAACGCUCCAGACCCAGCUACCAACAAAUGAGGGAAGGACGGACGGUUCUUUCCUCCCUUGAUUAGGCUUUCCACCAACAGCUGUGAUUUUGUCCUGGUUACUGGUUGGUAAAAACUGGUCUUCAUAAGUUUGAGUAGUGCAAGAUUUUUACAAGGCUAAGCAAAACCUGGAAUGCCUUGAUGUAUCACAGAAUUCAUCCCUCUUGAGUGCGUUUUUUAUUUCAUGUCUGGAUCAAAACAUUACCUCCCUAGUCUGCGUGCGUGUGGCUUGGUCCCUGGGACACCUGCCAAGACAAGAAUUUUGGAUGCCUGCAAUCAUGUGCCCAGCAGGUGUAAAUUGUGUUCAGGGAGAGUUCACCUUUUGUCCUUAACCCCAGAGGCAGUUUCUCUUCAUUAGCAAGGGAAGAUAGAGAAAGAGAUUAUCAUCAUUUCCUGACUGCAUGCCAAAGUUAUGUAUCAUGAGAAGAAAAUCUGUUCAUACAUUCACAAAUAUGUUUUCUCCUACUCUGUCUUUAGGAAAAUGUCUUUGUGAGGAGCGAGGGGUAAUAAUCGUAGAGAAGUUGAAAGAAGUGACAGAAACAGAAACAGAAUCUCUCAGCUGCGAUUUUUUUAAAGCAGGAUGCAUGUCUUUGCUGAAGGCUCCACAACGCAGAUUCAUUUGUCUUUUUAGGUAAGUAGAUAUUUUUAAGUGCCCAACUUACUCCCUGA